rnacentral:rRNA from 1 species
CAAAGGAGGCGACUCCGGAGACGGAUGGGCAUGCGUGACAUUAGCUUGUUGGCGGGGUAACGGCCCACCAAGGCGACGAUGUCUAGGGGUUCUGAGAGGAAGGUCCCCCACACUGGUACUGAGACACGGACCAGACUCCUACGGGAGGCAGCAGUGAGGAAUAUUGGUCAAUGGGCGAGAGCCUGAACCAGCCAAGUCGCGUGAAGGAUGACGGCCCUACGGGUUGUAAACUUCUUUUGUCAGGGAGCAAUUGGGUCCACGCGUGGGCUUAGCGAGAGUACCUGAAGAAAAAGCAUCGGCUAACUCCGUGCCAGCAGCCGCGGUAAUACGGAGGAUGCGAGCGUUAUCCGGAUUUAUUGGGUUUAAAGGGUGCGUAGGCGGAAUAUCAAGUCAGCGGUAAAAAUUCGGGGCUCAACCCCGUCGUGCCGUUGAAACUGAUGUUCUUGAGUGGGCGAGAAGUAUGCGGAAUGCGUGGUGUAGCGGUGAAAUGCAUAGAUAUCACGCAGAACUCCGAUUGCGAAGGCAGCAUACCGGCGCCCAACUGACGCUGAAGCACGAAAGCGUGGGUAUCGAACAGGAUUAGAUACCCUGGUAGUCCACGCAGUAAACGAUGAAUGCUAAUUGUCCGGAGGGAUUGACCUCUGGGUGAU